rnacentral:rRNA from 1 species
UACGGAGGGAGCUAGCGUUGUUCGGAAUACUGGGCGUAAAGCGCACGUAGGCGGCUUUGCAAGUUAGAGGUGAAAGCCCGGGGCUCAACUCCGGAAUUGCCUUUAAAACUGCAUCGCUAGAAUUGUGGAGAGGUAAGUGGAAUUCCGAGUGUAGAGGUGAAAUUCGUAGAUAUUCGGAAGAACACCAGUGGCGAAGGCGACUUACUGGACACAUAUUGACGCUGAGGUGCGAAAGCGUGGGGAGCAAACAGG